UUUAUCUUGGUGUAAAUUAGCACAUAAAAUUUUGAUUUUUAAGGUAUUAGUUUAGG
rnacentral:tRNA from 1 species